UACGAAGGACCCGAGCGUUAUCCGGAUUUAUUGGGUUUAAAGGGUGCGUAGGCGGCCAGGUAGGUCUGCUGUGAAAACUCGAGGCUCAACCUCGAGACGUCGGCGGAAACCAUCUGGCUAGAGUCCGGAAGAGGAGAGUGGAAUUCCUGGUGUAGCGGUGAAAUGCGCAGAUAUCAGGAAGAACACCCGUGGCGAAGGCGGCUCUCUGGGACGGUACUGACGCUGAGACGCGAAAGCGUGGGGAGCGAACAGG
rnacentral:rRNA from 1 species